rnacentral:rRNA from 1 species
GAUGAACGCUGGCGGCGUGCCUAAUACAUGCAAGUCGAGCGAACAGACGAGGAGCUUGCUCCUCUGACGUUAGCGGCGGACGGGUGAGUAACACGUGGAUAACCUACCUAUAAGACUGGGAUAACUUCGGGAAACCGGAGCUAAUACCGGAUAAUAUAUUGAACCGCAUGGUUCAAUAGUGAAAGACGGUUUUGCUGUCACUUAUAGAUGGAUCCGCGCCGCAUUAGCUAGUUGGUAAGGUAACGGCUUACCAAGGCAACGAUGCGUAGCCGACCUGAGAGGGUGAUCGGCCACACUGGAACUGAGACACGCUCCAGACUACUACGGGAGGCAGCAGUAGGGAAUCUUCCGCAAUGGGCGAAAGCUUGACGGAGCAACGCCGCGUGAGUGAUGAAGGUCUUCGGAUCGUAAAACUCUGUUAUUAGGGAAGAACAAAUGUGUAAGUAACUAUGCACGUCUUGACGGUACCUAAUCAGAAAGCCACGGCUAACUACGUG